rnacentral:rRNA from 1 species
GAUGAACGCUGGCGGCGUGCCUAAUACAUGCAAGUCGAGCGAACAGACGAGGAUCUUUCUCCUCUGACGUUAGCGGCGGACGGGUGAGUAACACGUGGAUAACCUACCUAUCAUACUGGGAUAACUUCGUGAAACCGGAGCUCAUACCCGAUAAUAUAUUGAUCCGCAUGGUUCAAUAGUGUAAGACGGUUUUGCUGUCACUUAUAGAUGUAUCCGCGCCGCAUUAGCUAGUUGGUAAGGUAACGGCUUACCAAGGCGACGAUGCGUAGCCGACCUGAGAGGGUGAUCGGCCACACUGGAACUGAGACACGGUCCAGACUCCUACGGGAGGCAGCAGUAGGGAAUCUUCCGCAAUGGGCGAAAGCUUGACGGAGCAACGCCGCGUGAGUGAUGAAGGUCUUCGGAUCGUAAAACUCUGUUAUUAGGGAAGAACAAAUGUGUAAGUAACUAUGCACGUCUUGACGGUACCUAAUCAGAAAGCCACGGCUAACUACGUG